UCCUACGGGAGGCAGCAGUAGGGAAUCUUCCACAAUGGACGAAAGUCUGAUGGAGCAACGCCGCGUGAGUGAAGAAGGGUUUCGGCUCGUAAAGCUCUGUUGGUAGUGAAGAAAGAUAGAGGUAGUAACUGGCCUUUAUUUGACGGUAAUUACUUAGAAAGUCACGGCUAACUACGUGCCAGCAGCCGCGGUAAUACGGAGGUGGCAAGCGUUGUCCGGAUUUAUUGGGCGUAAAGCGAGCGCAGGCGGGUCAAUAAGUCU
rnacentral:rRNA from 1 species